GGAUGAGCUAGCAAAUCAGAAUCAAGAAACUGCUAAUCUCACUAAUACACUUGACCGAGAAAUUCAUACACUACGGGCUCAGUUGGAAGCUGCAAAAUAUGAUGUUAUAAAAUAUUGCAUAGGUACCCUUGUGUCUAUAUCAGCUGUUGGUUUGGCCGUAGUCCGACUUUUGAAGUAAGUAAAAUGCUAAUUAUGAUAAAGAAUAUAGUUGUUUAACAACUUUGAUGCUCAAUGGAUAAAACAGAGUUGUAUGACAUCUAAAUCUCCAUUGCAU
rnacentral:misc_RNA from 1 species